AUGCGUCCGGAGUCAGCCCUGGAUUCCAAUCCUGGCUCUGCCACGUGGACGGUGACCUGUCGGAAAAUGGAGAGCCCGGUGCCCAACCUGCAGCCCAGCUCAGUGGUCACGAAAGGGUCUGGGGGGCAGGGGCGGCAGAUGGAAAACGGGUGCGGCUCUUUCCUUCAUCUGUCUGCGCACGGACUUCCCCAAGGUCCCCCCUCAGUGCACCCCCUUUUCUCCUCUUUGCCCUCCUGGCUUAAGUGCGUUGGUCUCUUACUGGGUGCCCCCACAGCAUCCCAUGGAUCCCAGAUGGAUGAACAGAUGACUGGAUGGACUCAAAACUCCCGAGGUCUGACCCACGGGAGGUGCUCGGCCAAUGCCGCCCCUCCCCUGGCCCCUUGGCGGCGGGGGGGGGGGGGACACGGCGGGCCGGCCACUGCUACUCAAGUCCUGGAAGCAGCCCAGAUGGGAAGCAGAAGUGCCCCGGGGUGCCCUGGCAAUCAGGCCAGAUCCCCCGUGGGGCGCGCUGGGACCGGCGCGGGGCCCAGCCGCCCUCCCGCUGCGACGCGCAUGCUCCAUGCCCCCCACCCGCCGCGCUUGGUUCCCACGCCGCCGCCACCGCCGCCGCUGCCGCCCCGGCCCCGCCCGCUCCCCGCCCACCUCCAGGCCCUGCUCCUGGCUCUAGACAGAAGAGGACGGACAGCCUCGCAGAACGCGCCUCCUGAGAGCGGCGCCCAGCUGGCAAGGGAGCCCCCGGAAGGGGCCGUUAUCCAUCCAACCCAUGCCCGGCGCGGGCUCCUGCUGUCGUCUGAGAGCCUCUGCACAGUCACCCUCCAGGCCCCCACUGCCUUUGACUCCUCUUUCCUUCACGCCAGCAUCUCAUCAAGGACUUUGUUACACUUGACCAUUGGCCGUCUGGUUAUCUUUUCAUCUGAAGCAGCCUCUCUCCCCGGCCUCGUCUUUUCCCCCUGGCGCUGA
rnacentral:lncRNA from 1 species